AGUGAACGCUGGCGGUAGGCCUAACACAUGCCAGUCGAACGGCAGCACAGUAAGAGCUUGCUCUUACGGGUGGCGAGUGGCGGACGGGUGAGGAAUACAUCGGAAUCUACUUUUUCGUGGGGGAUAACGUAGGGAAACUUACGCUAAUGCCGCAUACGACCUACGGGUGAAAGCAGGGGAUCUUCGGACCUUGCGCGAUUGAAUGAGCCGCUGUCGGAUUAGCUAGUUGGCGGGGUAAAGGCCCACCAGGGCGACGAUCCGUAGCUGGUCUGAGAGGAUGAUCGGCCACACUGGAACUGAGACACGGUCCAGACUCCUGCGGGAGGCAGCAGUGGGGAAUAUUGGACAAUGGGCGCAAGCCUGAUCCAGCGAUACCGCGUGUGUGAAGAAGGCCUUCGGGUUGUAAAGCCCUUUUGUUGGGAAAGAAAAGCAGCAGGUUAAUACCCCGCUGUUCUGACGGUACCCAAAGAAUAAGCACCGGCUAACUUCGUG
rnacentral:rRNA from 1 species